rnacentral:rRNA from 1 species
CGGGGAGGACAGGUGGUGCAUGGUUGUCGUCAGCUCGUGUCGUGAGAUGUUGGGUUAAGUCCCGCAACGAGCGCAACCCUAUUGCUAGUUACCAUCAUUAAGUUGGGGACUCUAGCGAGACUGCCAGUGAUAAACUGGAGGAAGGUGGGGAUGACGUCAAAUCAUCAUGCCCCUUAUGACCUGGGCUACAAACGUGAUACAAUGGCUGGAACAAAGGGAUGCGAAGCAGUGAUGUGGAGCGAAACCCAUAAAAGCAGUCUCAGUUCGGAUUGAAGUCUGCAACUCGACUUCAUGAAGUCGGAAUCGCUAGUAAUCGCGGAUCAGAACGCCGCGGUGAAUACGUUCUCGGGGUUU